CGGGCGUUAAGUUGCAGGGUAUAGACCCGAAACCCGGUGAUCUAGCCAUGGGCAGGUUGAAGGUUGGGUAACACUAACUGGAGGACCGAACCGACUAAUGUUGAAAAAUUAGCGGAUGACCUGUGGCUGGGGGUGAAAGGCCAAUCAAACCGGGAGAUAGCUGGUUCUCCCCGAAAGCUAUUUAGGUAGCGCCUCGUGAAUUCAUCUCCGGGGGUAGAGCACUGUUUCGGCUAGGGGGCCAUCCCGGCUUACCAACCCGAUGCAAACUGCGAAUACCGGAGAAUGUUAUCACGGGAGACACACGGCGGGUGCUAACGUCCGUCGUGAAGAGGGAAACAACCCAGACCGCCAGCUAAGGUCCCAAAGUCAUGGUUAAGUGGGAAACGAUGUGGGAAGGCCCAGACAGCCAGGAUGUUGGCUUAGAAGCAGCCAUCAUUUAAAGAAAGCGUAAUAGCUCACUGGUCGAGUCGGCCUGCGCGGAAGAUGUAACGGGGCUAAACCAUGCACCGAAGCUGCGGCAGCGAACGUAUCACCCAAGACAACUUUACGGAGUUGACGAUUGACGGAGCGAAGCGACGUCAAAGCGUUCAUUAAAGUCGAGUUGGCUUAGGGAUACGUUCGUUGGGUAGGGGAGCGUUCUGUAAGCCUGUGAAGGUGUGUCGUGAGGC
rnacentral:rRNA from 1 species